CCUACGGGAGGCAGCAGUGAGGAAUAUUGGUCAAUGGCCGAGAGGCUGAACCAGCCAAGUCGCGUGAGGGAAGACGGCCCUACGGGUUGUAAACCUCUUUUGUCGGGGAGCAAAGCGAGGCACGUGUGACUCAUUGAGAGUACCCGAAGAAAAAGCAUCGGCUAACUCCGUGCCAGCAGCCGCGGUAAGACGGAGGAUGCGAGCGUUAUCCGGAUUUAUUGGGGUUAAAGGGUGCGCAGGCGGAGGUGCAAGUCAGCGGUCAAAUUGCGGGGCUCAACCCCGUACUGCCGUUGACACUGCAUCCCUUGCGUGCGCUAGCAGUAUGCGGACUGC
rnacentral:rRNA from 1 species